rnacentral:lncRNA from 1 species
AGGUGCCUGUCUAAAUUAGUGCAAUAUAGCUCCUGCCUUGGUACCCAUUUUUAGGCCUGACCUAAGUAUUUAUUGAGACGGAGUCUUGCUCUGUCGCCCAGGCUGGAGUGCAGUGGCACGAUCAAGGCUCACUGCAACCUCUGCCUCCUGGGUUCAAGCAAUUCUCCUGCCUCAGCCUCCUGAGUAGCUGGGAUUACAGGCGCCCGCUACCACACCCGGCUAAUUUUUUGUAUUUUUAGUAGAGAUGGGGUUUCACUGUGUCAGCCAGGAUGGUCUCAAUCUCCUGACCUCGUGAUCCGCCUGCCGCGGCCUCCCAAAGUGCUAGGAUUACAGGCAUGAGCCACCGCACCCGGCCAACCUAGUUGUUUGAAACCUUGUACCCUGCCCUCUAUGGCCUCAUUAAAACUUCGCCUCCCAGUGUGGUGGUUUGAAAAAUACAGCCCAGGCUCCUUCCUCAUCCCACCAACCAAAAACCCAACAUGCCCCACACCUGCGGGCCCGUGGUAAAACCUGAUGAUUAAUACCAGAGUCGUGUCAAUAAAUUUCCCCUGCGCACGUGUUUUCUUGAAACUAACCAAUCCACGACCCCCAUGGGAAAGCCUAAGGGGUAACGCCCCUGGACCCUGAUAGAAGCACAGCCCCUCAGGCUUGCUCACUCUCACUCUCUCCCCACCUCUUGGUUGAGCUCUGCUGUCACUGCCUCCAGACCUCUCAUGAAGGCCCCGCCACCACCCUCCCUGGAAUCUGUACUGCCUCAACCUGCCUCAGCUAAGCCACGCCCCAC